rnacentral:rRNA from 1 species
GAUGAACGCUGGCGGCGUGCCUAACACAUGCAAGUCGAGCGAUUCUCUUCGGAGAAGAGCGGCGGACGGGUGAGUAACGCGUGGGUAACCUGCCCUGUACACACGGAUAACAUACCGAAAGGUAUGCUAAUACGAGAUAAUAUGCUUUUAUCGCAUGGUAGAAGUAUCAAAGCUUUUGCGGUACAGGAUGGACCCGCGUCUGAUUAGCUAGUUGGUAAGGUAACGGCUUACCAAUGCGACGAUCGGUAGCCGACCUGAGAGGGUGAUCGGCCACAUUGGAACUGAGACACGGUCCAAACUCCUACGGGAGGCAGCAGUAGGGAAUAUUAGAAAUGGGCGGAAGCCUGAUCUAGCAACACCGCGUGUGCGAUGAAGGCCUUCGGGUCGUAAAGCACUUUUGGUAGGGAAGUAGGAAGGAAGGUACCGUCCAGAAUAAGUCUCGGCGUAACUACGUGCCAGCAGCCGCGGUAAGUCUAGUCUACG